GAUUUAUAUCCUGGGCAGAAUGGAGUAGGACAGUGAAAGAUUUCGCCAACAUAUUCAGAAUAGCAUGCAAUUUAAAACUUAUUUUGAAGUUGGAAGAAGUGGCAAAAUGUGAAAAGCAAGAAGCAAGUAUUACCAGAGACACCUAUGAAAAAGAAAUCUUUCUGAAGAACAUUUUUAAAGUGCCAUAAUCUGUUCGCUCAUGGCCCAUAGUGUUGGUGAGGCCAACACUAUAG
rnacentral:lncRNA from 1 species